rnacentral:rRNA from 1 species
GAGUUUGAUCCUGGCUCAGGAUGAACGCUGGCGGCGUGCUUAACACAUGCAAGUCGAACGGAAGUCGUUAUAACUCAGAACGAAGAUUUAUCUGAGGGACGAGAUAUAACAAUGGCUUUAGUGGCGGACUGGUGAGUAACACGUAAGAAACCUGCCUAUUAGAGGGGAAUAACAACGAGAAAUCGUUGCUAAUACCGCAUAAGACCACGGUACCGCAUGGUACAGUGGUAAAAACUCCGGUGGUAUGAGAUGGACCCGCGUCUGAUUAGGUAGUUGGUGGGGUAACGGCCUACCAAGCCGACGAUCAGUAGCCGACCUGAGAGGGUGACCGGCCACAUUGGGACUGAGACACGGCCCAGACUCCUACGGGAGGCAGCAGUGGGGAAUAUUGCACAAUGGAGGAAACUCUGAUGCAGCGACGCCGCGUGAAGGAUGAAGUAUUUCGGUAUGUAAACUUCUAUCAGCAGGGAAGAAAAUGACGGUACCUGACUAAGAAGCCCCGGCUAACUACGUGCCAGCCGCCGCGGUAAUUC